rnacentral:lncRNA from 1 species
CUCAAUGCAUGUUUACUAAAUUAAAUCCUUAGACUAGAUUUCUCCAAGCCAAUUGUAAAUAACUGAGGUAAUCAAGGAGGUGCAUUACUUUUGUGUCUACCUGAAAUUUAUGACCCAACAUAUUUUGGGCACAUGUAGUUUACAUUGAUGAGAAUGAUCUGUGGAAUUGCGUCUGCUCUCUACGUCUACUUACCGAUGAAGGCAGAGUCUUUAAUCCUAGAGGCCAGUGUCCCUUCUUCCACCUACCAGUGUAUAGUAGAAGCAGCAGCAGCAGCAGCAGCAGCAGCAGCAGCAGCAGCAGGAGCUAGGAAUCUCUUAAUUGCUUUGUGCUUGUCAAGAUUAUGCAACUUUCCAGAAUUCAAGAUCAUGGAAAACUGCCAGAAGGAAAUGGGUCUUCUCCUCUCCCAAAUGGUCCCAUAACUAGUCUGGCCACCUUGAGCCAUCCAAGAGGAGAAUGUGGUCAGGGACCGUGACUCAGCUUAAGAAGCUACAUUUAUAUCUAUAUCUACACACAUGUUCUACCGACUAUGACCACACCACCAUGGCCCAUGCCCAUACACCCACGUGUGAACCAAGAGGCAGGUAAUGUGCCGAUGACGACGUCUACAAGGUUUGAGGGAGGCACCUCUCAAAACCGAAUCAUCAUGCUUGCAAACUACAAAAGACUCUUUCUUGGUACUUUUCUUGUUUGAAAGUACCUACAUUUUGGGGCUCAAGACUCAGAAAGUCAGAGUGGAGAGUUGGGUGCCAUGCUCCAUUCUGCUUUUCCUGAAGUGCCUCAAAUGCUAGGCAGAGUCCCUGCACUCUCCGUGAUAGGAAUCUCCUCUGUGGCCAAAAUUGGGCCUCCGUUUUUUUCACCGCAGGAAUAUACAUGUCCUCAUGGCCGUCUCCUGCCUGGGCAGCAGCGAAGCCUCCCCAGACUGCUCUGCCCUGUGGAAGAAAAGGCCUAGGUCCUGCUGUUUUCCCAGUCUCCUUUCCUGGGAGGUGGCCAUGACUCGCUCCCAUUAACCUGGGCAGAGGCUGUUUCCCAUCUCUUCCUGCAUGAGUUACUUCAUGGAGCCUCGGAGGAGGAGCCCUGGACUCUGCUCGCCUGGGAUUCCUGCUGUUCUACCCACUGUCCACCCAGAAGCUCCCUUCCCCGGGUCUGACAUGACUUUCUCUUCUGAGCCAGGCCCAGCAGGAAGGAUGCGUUUGUGUUCGGCCCUGCAUUCCUGCAGUGUCCCUCGGGUGUGUGGCUGGAAAUGAUUUGUGUAAGGCACUCAGCCAGCCUCCCUUUUAAUCACUCCCAUACUCACAGACAGAGGGAAUCCCAGCCCCUCACCCAGGAGAGGGAAGGAACCUCCUUCAUUUUGACAGGGCCUCCCUCCGUGGUGGGGUAAGCAGUGAUUCUGGUCUCCAGGAAAGAUGCUUCCAAGAGCCUCUUUCUCUGAGGCCUAAUUAUGAAAUCGAUAUCUUCAGGAACCCCUCCUCCUUCCCUGGAGCUUCUGCAGGCAGACACUGCCCAGAUAAUGUUCAAACAUGCAUUGACCCGGCAGGGCUUCCUGAGCACCACUCUGGCUGGGGAGGAGGAUGGGAUCAGCUGGGCCUGGAAGAAUGGGCAGGGUUUGCUUAGGACGUUUCGGGGAGGCAGAUGGUGUAAGCUGGGGAUGGGGUGAGGAAGGGAGAGAGUUAGGGGCAGCUUGAGGGAAAUAGGGGUGUUUGUUGGGGAAGAGUGAGUGAUGACUGGUCAGAGUCCCAACAGCAAACAGAGGACACAAUUAAAAUGGGAUAGUUCCAGGAUAGUUUAUUUGCAUAGGUGUGAUCACAGGGAAACCACAAAGAAUAGUGCAGUUAACUGGUCUUAGUAAGAGCCAAGGUGUUAUCACCUCUAGGCACAAAGAGACAAAGACCAGAACAGAGAGUCCUGCAGAGCAACUUGACUUGGAAGGAACAGAAGACUUCAGUCCAGGGGCACAGUAAGCUGGAGGCAACCUUGCAGGGAGAGACCCAGGCAGAGCUGGAUUUGUAGUGACGCUGGCGAAGUUUAAGCUUCAGGAUCCCACGCUUGCACAGGUGACUUCCAAAGCCGGGAGGAGUUCUAGCGAUGUAUUCAUAUGUCACACAUUUUGUAAAUUUUGCAAAAGUAAGAUAGUUUCAUCCCAGUUUCCCUCCACUAUACAUAUCUCAUGGUUGGGUGGCUUUGGAGUCGUUGCGGGCAUUUUUAGGAUCUGGUUAAGGGGGAGAUGGGUUUUGGUUUGGUUGGGUAUAUGUAAGUUGCUCACAGCCACU